rnacentral:lncRNA from 1 species
UGCUGGACAGGACCACGUGAUCUUCAAACAUACCACAUGGGGAGUGGUGUUGCAUGAUUGGUUAUCCUUGUUUAUCCCGCGCAUCCGAGUGAUUACUAUUGUUUAGAGUGUCUGUAGUGAAUCUUGAGUGUUUGAUCGACUCGUGUGAUUAUUUCAAAAGACGUAAUGCGUGAGGAACCAGGAGAAAUGAGGUCUCGGCAGACUCAGGGAAGGUGAGACACGAACAGACAAGUUUCCAGCUCCGCCGCCACGCCCUGCAGGAAGAACUUUACACCACAAAGAGAUCGGCAGAACACCCGAAGAAAACGCACCAUCAGCCCAUCAUUAACGAGUUUAGCGUCCCCUUACAUGGCUGCCGUCACCACCACCACCACCACCACCACCACCGCCACCGCC